AUUGAACGCUGGCGGCAGGCCUAACACAUGCAAGUCGAACGGUAACAGGAAGCAGCUUGCUGCUUUGCUGACGAGUGGCGGACGGGUGAGUAAUGUCUGGGAAACUGCCUGAUGGAGGGGGAUAACUACUGGAAACGGUAGCUAAUACCGCAUAACGUCGCAAGACCAAAGAGGGGGACCUUCGGGCCUCUUGCCAUCGGAUGUGCCCAGAUGGGAUUAGCUAGUAGGUGGGGUAACGGCUCACCUAGGCGACGAUCCCUAGCUGGUCUGAGAGGAUGACCAGCCACACUGGAACUGAGACACGGUCCAGACUCCUACGGGAGGCAGCAGUGGGGAAUAUUGCACAAUGGGCGCAAGCCUGAUGCAGCCAUGCCGCGUGUAUGAAGAAGGCCCUCGGGUUGUAAAGUACUUUCAGCGGGGAGGAAGGGAGUAAAGUUAAUACCUGUGCUCAUUGACGUUACCCGCAGAAGAAGCACCGGCUAACUCCGU
rnacentral:rRNA from 1 species